GUGGGGCCGAAGGGCCUGUUUCCGCGCUGUAUCUCUGAAGUAAAAAGGGAAUAGUUGAAGCAGGGAGAGCAGGGCAAGACUUUGGGGCCUGUUUCAAGAUGGCCAACUUUUGCCUCCUGUUUCCGCGCUGUAUCUCUAAACUAAACUAGUGUGUGUGUGU